rnacentral:rRNA from 1 species
AUGAACAGGCAUAGCGCAGCACCUCAACACGCUUCUUCUUCAACCGAUGGCAGUACAGAGAGAUCCGGCAAGCACGGAUUACAAGCGGAUUACAUGGAGGGGAUCGAUCGACCGAGCAAGAGAAGAGUACGCAGACAGGCAGGAGCUAGGCUACUGGUAGUACAUGGUGUAUCGAUCUAUCUAGCCGGCGUAGAUGUGGAUGUGGAGGGCGAGGGUGAGGAUGGUGAAGGCGGCGAAGAAGAGCAGGGUGUGGACGAAGAUGGCCUUGCCGUUGGUGUGGAGGCCGCCGAAGUCGACGUGGCGGUGCGACCCCGGCAUCUCGAACAGCAGCCCCGGCGACAGCAGCACGAAGAGCACCACCCCCACCACCACCGGCGCCCAGUCCGCCAUCCUCCGCCGCCUGCUCUCCCUCGCUUCUUCUUCUUCUUCUUCUUCUUUGGUCGAUCUGAUCUGAUCUCACGGCUAUGA